GAUGAACGCUGGCGGCGUGCUUAACACAUGCAAGUCGAACGGAAAGGCCCAAGCUUGCUUGGGUACUCGAGUGGCGGACGGGUGAGUAACACGUGGGUGAUCUGCCCUGCACUUCGGGAUAAGCCUGGGAAACUGGGUCUAAUACCGGAUAGGACGAUGGUUUGGAUGCCAUUGUGGAAAGUUUUUUCGGUGUGGGAUGAGCUCGCGGCCUAUCAGCUUGUUGGUGGGGUAAUGGCCUACCAAGGCGUCGACGGGUAGCCGGCCUGAGAGGGUGUACGGCCACAUUGGGACUGAGAUACGGCCCAGACUCCUACGGGAGGCAGCAGUGGGGAAUAUUGCACAAUGGGCGCAAGCCUGAUGCAGCGACGCCGCGUGGGGGAUGACGGCCUUCGGGUUGUAAACUCCUUUCGCUAGGGACGAAGCGUUUUUGUGACGGUACCUGGAGAAGAAGCACCGGCUAACAACGUG
rnacentral:rRNA from 1 species